ensembl:lncRNA CASP4LP caspase 4 like, pseudogene
AGUCUGAGCCUUUUUUCAGUGCUGUAAGAAAGGACGGAGGCUGUUAUCUAUGGCAGAUCUAUCCAAUAAAGGAGAGAAAGGACCGCAUACGCCUGGUUCUCAUCAUAUGCAAUAAAGAGUUUGACCAUCUGCCUCCAAGAAAUGGGGCUGACUUUGCCAUCAUGGAGAUGAAGAAGCUGCUUGAGGAUCUGGGUUACAGUGUGGAUGUAGAAGAGAAUCUGACAGCCAGGCAAACCAUGGGGAACAGUGGGUCAGAGACUGUCCAGCAUCUUUGGGAGUCAUGUCUUCACAGUCACCUAAGAACCUGGAGGAUGCAGUUUGCAAGACAUACCAGAGAAGGACUUCAUUGUUUUCUGCUCUUCAACCUCAUAUAACGUGUCCAGGAGAGACAGCACAAGGGGCUCCAUCUUCAUCACACAACUCAUCGCAUGCUUCCAGAGAUAUUCCUGGCGCUGCCACCUAGAGGAAGUAUUUUGGAAGGUUCAGCAAGCAUUUGAAAGUCCGGAGGCAACAGUCCAAAUGCCCACCAUAGAACGAGUGUCCAUGACAAGAUAUUUCUACCUCUUUCCUGGCAAUUGAAAAUGGUUAAGCAUUGAGAGUUGUUGGUGGUGUAUGAAAUAAAUGAAAGUGUGAUAUUGGAGCAGGAAACCACAAGCAGCCCAGCCCUCCUUUAUCAACUUCAAGAAACACCUUUACUAGUACAGAUUGAAUGCUUAACAUUUUGUAUUUCAAUAAAGGUGAAGACAAA